CUCAACGUCGAUCGGUCCGAGUCCUUGCGAUAUCUGCUGCCUUAUAUCCGCUCUCCACGAUGCUCAAAGUCGCUGUCUUGGUUCUCGUGGCUGCUACUAGCUGUUGCCUGGCCAAAGACAUCAUCUUCAAACAGAAACACAAGGCACUGAAUGUGACCGUGGCUGUCAACUCAGAGGAAGAAGUGCAUUGCGCCGGCUGGGUGGACGCCGACGGCGACAUCGAACAGUCUACCCCUUCCGGCUGCUUCAACGUCACACACACAGGGAAGGGAGAGUACAACAUCGAUUUUACAACCCCGAUGACUGCCCCACCUGUCUGCGUCGUUUCACCGUUUUACGACAGUUCGUAUGCAACAACCGCCGGCGUCACAUACAUUAGUACCACCGGAUUCGGUUACUCCACCGGAGUAUUGUAUUGGGCGAGAGACUCGAGUGCCACCUUCAUCUGCUUUCUGAUUGAGGAGGAUUGAGGGAUGAGCAACAUUUCUUGACGUGAACGGUAAUUGUGCAAGAGUGUCACAAAACGUAUAGUAACGCGGUGUUGUUGCAUGGUCUAGACUUCAGAAACUAGAAACUUCGAUGUUGAUGCUGUCACGUGCGUGCUGCCUAGAGCUUUACGUUGUCUUGCAAACGUUUCAAAGUGAAUAAAUGUAU